CUUUUCGGCCGCGGCGCGUGACUGGGCUUGGUGGAGUUUCAAGAUGCUGAUGAACUUAAGGUCUGGCGCUUGAAAGAAUCAGUGAAGCUUUUCAAGUAGAGGAGGAGGUGCCCUACUGUGUAUUGCUGGGGUCGUAUAGCCAAUUGGCGAACUAGCUGAUAAACCCUGGACAGAAAUAGAAACUACAAGAAGUGAAACAAAGUUCCAUCCAAGAAUGAAACAACAACUGAUCACGUGAGAUGCCCAUGUCAUCACUUGACCCACAGACAGGGGAGCAAAUAUAUUGAUGAUCUGGUCCUCCUGCCGGACUGUUGGUAUUCAUCCCUGUAAGUGAGAGGAAGGAAACAUUGCAACUUAAUGGGUGAGUCCUUCCUUCUGGUGAAUUUAACAUCAUGCAUUUGCUAGAUUUGCUAGCCAUGCAGUUAUGGUGAAAACAGGAAAGAUCCCUUUGGGUUUAACUAUAGAUUAGCCAUAGGAUUUGCAACCAGGAAAAGACCUUCAAGAUCAAUUCUAUUGGAACAUGGACAAUUAACAUAAAUAAACUGAGAAACAGACAGACUGUG
rnacentral:lncRNA from 1 species